rnacentral:rRNA from 1 species
AACGAACGCUGGCGGCAUGCCUAACACAUGCAAGUCGAACGAAGCCUUCGGGCUUAGUGGCGCACGGGUGCGUAACGCGUGGGAAUCUGCCCUUUGGUUCGGAAUAACAGUUGGAAACGACUGCUAAUACCGGAUGAUGACGAAAGUCCAAAGAUUUAUCGCCUGGGGAUGAGCCCGCGUAGGAUUAGCUAGUUGGUGUGGUAAAGGCGCACCAAGGCGACGAUCCUUAGCUGGUCUGAGAGGAUGAUCAGCCACACUGGGACUGAGACACGGCCCAGACUCCUACGGGAGGCAGCAGUGGGGAAUAUUGGACAAUGGGCGAAAGCCCGAUCCAGCAAUGCCGCGUGAGUGAUGAAGGCCCUAGGGUUGUAAAGCUCUUUUACCCGGGAUGAUAAUGACAGUACCGGGAGAAUAAGCCCCGGCUAACUCCGUGCCAGCCGCCGCCGUAA